UGAUGACUCCUAUUGCGUACCUGAGUACGGCGGGACACGAGAAACCCUGUCGGAAUCUGGGGGGACCACCCUCCAAGGCUAAAUACGAGACAGCUACCGAUAGCGAACGAGUACCGUGAGGGAAGUGGUGAAAAGCACCCCGGGAGGGGAGUGAAAUAGAACCUGAAACCGUGGACCUACAAGUGGUCGGAGUUGGACUUCGGUCUGAUGACGGCGUGCCUUUUGUAGAAUGAGCCUGCGAGUUACCAUAUCAUGCGAGGUUAAGGUACUGUAGUACCGGAGCCGGAGGGAAACCGAGUCUUAACUGGGCGAAUGAGUAUGGUGUGGUAGACCCGAAGCCGAGUGAUCUACCUAUGAUCAGGCUGAAGCUCCGGUAACACGGAGUGGAGGGCCGAACACUAGUCUGUUGAAAAAGGCAGUGAUGAAUUGUGGGUAGGAGUGAAAGGCUAAACAAACUCGGAGAUAGCUGGUUCUCCCCGAAAUGGCUUUAGGGUCAGCGUCAUAUGAUCAAUGCCGGAGGUAGAGCACUGAUUAGGCUAGGGCCUGUCACAGGGUACCAAACUUAGUCAAACUCCGAAUGCCGGUAUUUAAAGUAUGGCAGUGAGACUGUGGGUGAUAAGAUUCAUGGUCGAAAGGGAAACAGCCCAGACCGUCAGCUAAGGUCCCUAAACUAUGCUAAGUGGAAAAGGAAGUAUGAUUGCCCAGACAGCCAGGAGGUUGGCUUAGAAGCAGCCACUCCUUGAAAGAGUGCGUAAUAGCUCACUGGUCGAGUAGUCAUGCGCCGACAAUUUAACGGGGCUAAGCAUAGUACCGAAGCUACGGCAUUGUCAUUUAUGACAGUGGGUAGGGGAGCAUUCUGUAAGCCGACGAAGGUGAUCCGGGAGGAUUGCUGGAGGUAUCAGAAGUGAGAAUGCAGGCAUGAGUAACGAAAAGGCAGGUGAGAUCCCUGCCCGCCGAAAGCCGAAGGUUUCCUGGGUAAAGUUUGUCUUCCCAGGGUUAGUCGGUCCCUAAGGCGAGGCCGAAAGGCGUAGUCGAUGGGAAACAGGUUAAUAUUCCUGUACAUCUAGUAAUUUCGAUGGAGUGACGCAUAGGGGGAAGUCCUGCCGGGUGUUGGUUAUCCCGGUUUAAGCAGUAAGGCGUUGAAGAGUGCAGGUAAAUCCGCACUUUGAGUUGAGCUGCCAAGAGUAGUGAUCCUACGGGUGAUCGAAGAGGGUGGACUCGUCGUGCCAAGAAAUAGCUUCUAAGGUUAGGUUACUAGGUACCGUACCGCAAACCGACACAGGUAGGCGAGCUGAGAAUGCUAAGGCGUACGGAAGAACUCACGUUAAGGAACUCGGCAAAUUACAUACGUAACUUAGGGAGAAGUAUGGCCUACUCAGGGAUGAGAGGUUGCAGAGACCAGGCCCGAGCGACUGUUUACCAAAAACACAGGUCACUGCGAACCAGCAAUGGGAAGUAUAGUGACUGACACCUGCCCGGUGCUGGAAGGUUAAGAGGAGCUGUUAUUCCUUGAGAAGAAGCAGUGAAUUGAAGCCCCAGUAAACGGCGGCCGUAACUAUAACGGUCCUAAGGUAGCGAAAUUCCUUGUCGGGUAAGUUCCGACCCGCACGAAUUUUGGGCACUGUCUCAACGUGAGAUCCGGUGAAAUUAAAGUCUCGGUGAAGAUGCCGAGUACUCGUGGUUAGACGGAAAGACCCCGUGAACCUUUACUGCAUCCUGAUAUUGAUGCGUGGAUUAUGAUGUGUAGGAUAGGUGGGAGACUAUGACUCCUGGUCGUCAGGCUGGGAUGAGUCGUUGGUGAAAUACCACCCUUUAUGAUUCAUGUAUCUAACGCUGACCCUGAAGCGGGUUAGUGGACAUUGUCAGGUGGGCAGUUUGACUGGGGCGGUCGCCUCCUAAAGCGUAACGGAGGCGCGCGACGGUUCUCUUAUUACGGUUGGAAAUCGUGAUGUAAGUGUAAAGGCAUAAGAGAGCUUGACUGCAAGAGAGACAUUUCGAGCAGGUACGAAAGUAGGUCUUAGUGAUCUGGCGGUAAACCGAGUGGAAGGGCCGUCACUUAACGGACAAAAGGUACUCCGGGGAUAACAGGCUGAUUUUGCCCAAGAGUUCACAUCGACGGCAAAGUUUGGCACCUCGAUGUCGGCUCAUCGCAUC
rnacentral:rRNA from 1 species